UGGGGAAUAUUGGGCAAUGGGCGCAAGCCUGACCCAGCAACGCCGCGUGAGGGAAGAAGGUCUUCGGAUUGUAAACCUCUGUCCCACGGGACGAAAAAAAUGACGGUACCGGGGGAGGAAGCUCCGGCUAACUACGUGCCAGCAGCCGCGGUAAUACGUAGGGAGCAAGCGUUGUCCGGAAUUACUGGGCGUAAAGGGUGCGUAGGCGGCAAGGCAAGUCAGGUGUGAAAUCCCCGGGCUUAACUCGGGGGGUGCAUUUGAAACUGCUUUGCUUGAGUACAGGAGAGGAAAGCGGAAUUCCUAGUGUAGCGGUGAAAUGCGUAGAUAUUAGGAGGAACACCAGUGGCGAAGGCGGCUUUCUGGACUGUCACUGACGCUGAGGCACGAAAGCGUGGGGAGCAAACAGG
rnacentral:rRNA from 1 species